rnacentral:rRNA from 1 species
AAAACUUUCAACAACGGAUCUCUUGGUUCUGGCAUCGAUGAAGAACGCAGCGAAAUGCGAUAAGUAAUGUGAAUUGCAGAAUUCAGUGAAUCAUCGAAUCUUUGAACGCACAUUGCGCCCGCCGGUAUCCCGGCGGGCAUGCCUGUUCGAGCGUCAUUUCAACCCUCAGGCUCCGCCUGGUGUUGGGG